CAGUCGCCGCGGUAAUACGUAGGUGGCAAGCGUUGUCCGGAAUUAUUGGGCGUAAAGGGCUCGCAGGCGGUUUCUUAAGUCUGAUGUGAAAGCCCCCGGCUCAACCGGGGAGGGUCAUUGGAAACUGGGAAACUUGAGUGCAGAAGAGGAGAGUGGAAUUCCACGUGUAGCGGUGAAAUGCGUAGAGAUGGGGAGGAACACCAGUGGCGAAGGCGACUCUCUGGUCUGUAACUGACGCUGAGGAGCGAAAGCGUGGGGAGCGAACAGGAUUAGAUACCCGGGUAGUCCCUGUCUCUUAUAC
rnacentral:rRNA from 1 species